rnacentral:lncRNA from 1 species
AGUAUUUUCAGACAUGCUCAGACCCAGUGAGCAUGUCCCAGACUCCACUGCUGAGAAACACUGGCUGAAGUUUCUAUAAGAAGACGACCAGGAUAGCUAUUCCAGGAUAUCCCUCGCUUUCUCAUUGACAUAUCCUCAGAAUAUGGGCCAUUCAGAAAAUCCAUGGUUCCAUAGAUUCAGACCUGGAGAAGAGAAAAGGUGUCACAGAAGGCAGUGACAACUCAGGGACCUGCCUGUGGGACAGAUUACCACUUCCACCCUCAGGAGCUUUCCUUUUAAAGGCGCAGCCCACGCAAUCCUGUCGAUACAAGCCCAGGCUGACCUGCUGAAGGACGAGAGGCGCGUCACCGCCAUCGCCCCAGCUAACACCUGGACGACCCCAGACACUUGAAUGACGCCGUCCUGGGCAAUUGGACUCAAAGUUUCCCUUGCUAAGAGAACUUUCCAGCAGAAGAAACUCAAGGCUGCAGAGCAUCCAUCUGCCCUGCAGAGGGCACCAGGGGCUCAGACAGCAGAAUUUACUGCCUCGUUAGGCAGCCUCGGAAAGAAAAGCUCUCCGGGCCCUGCGCUCGCGCUGUGCAUUGUGGGGCUCCUGAGAGCCAGCGCCACCGCUCUUCCAAGGCUGUCGUGUCGGACUUUCAGAUUGGGCCUCAGGUUAUGUAUUUGCAUAUGUAGUUAUGUGGAAAGCUUUGCAACAUGUUUGGAUCAUUAUUAUUUAUGCUUAAAGAAGAUAAACGUUUUUAGAAGAUCAGGAUGCAAUUCAAGUUCUAAAAUCAUUCAGUCCUUGAUAAUGUUGUGCUACGAAAAUACUAAUAGUGAAACCUCAUUAAUACACACUAGCUAAAGACCAAUCUACCUGACCUAGCAAAAAAACCAUCAUAUGCUUAUGAUUUUUUUUUUGAGGAAGAUUAACCCUGAGCUAACAUCUGCUGCCAAUCCUCCUCUUUUUGCUGAAGAAGAUUGGCCCUCAGCUAACAUCCAUGCCCAUCUUC